rnacentral:rRNA from 1 species
UGUGUAGGCGGACUGGCGUGCGUCUUGUGAAAUCCCCCGGCUUAACCGGGGAAUUGCUGGACGAACUACCAGCCUUGAGGCAAGUAGGGGUGCGCGGAACUCUUGGUGGAGCGGUGGAAUGCGUAGAUAUCAAGAGGAACGCCGGCGGUGAAGACGGCGCACUAGGCUUGUUCUGACGCUGAGACACGAAAGCGUGGGGAGCAAACAGGAUUAGAUACCCUGGUAGUCCACGCCCUAAACUAUGUCUACUAGGUUGCGGUCGUUCUGACACGGCCGGAGCCGAAGCAAAAGUGUUUAGUAGACCGCCUGGGGAGUACGGUCGCAAGGCUAAA